AUUGAACGCUGGCGGCAGGCCUAACACAUGCAAGUCGAACGGUAACAGGAAGCAGCUUGCUGCUUUGCUGACGAGUGGCGGACGGGUGAGUAAUGUCUGGGAAACUGCCUGAUGGAGGGGGAUAACUACUGGAAACGGUAGCUAAUACCGCAUAACGUCGCAAGACCAAAGAGGGGGACCUUAGGGCCUCUUGCCAUCGGAUGUGCCCAGAUGGGAUUAGCUAGUAGGUGGGGUAACGGCUCACCUAGGCGACGAUCCCUAGCUGGUCCGAGAGGAUGACCAGCCACACUGGAACUGAGACACGGUCCAGACUCCUACGGGAGGCAGCAGUGGGGAAUAUUGCACAAUGGGCGCAAGCCUGAUGCAGCCAUGCCGCGUGUAUGAAGAAGGCCUUCGGGUUGUAAAGUACUUUCAGCGGGGAGGAAGGGAGUAAAGUUAAUACCUUUGCUCAUUGACGUUACCCGCAGAAGAAGCACCGGCUAACUCCGUG
rnacentral:rRNA from 1 species